AAGGGCUCUUCAGAGUGUGUUUGGCUCUGGACACAAGGGCAAGAAUUGAUCAUCAAGGGAUGAUCUGAUCUACUCUGUAAAGCUCUUUGAGAGCUACUAUUUUUUAUUAUUAUAGAAAACAGAAUGUGCUCUUCUGGUGAUUCAAGGGGGUGCCUGGCACGAUCCAACUGAUCUACAAACACGAUCCAAGCCUCUGCUCUCGCCCCAUCUUCUGCUUGCUCAGGAAAGGAAUUUGUGGAUCUGGAAUGCCUGUCCUGACCCAAGGCCUAGAGAGGAAACCCAAGAAGCGAACCUCUUCCAGUAGAGUCAGCUAG
rnacentral:lncRNA from 1 species